GGUGACUCAGUGGUAGAGUGCUUGCCUUGUAUGUAUGAGGCCCUGGGUUUGAUUCCUCAGCACCA
rnacentral:tRNA from 1 species